AUCUUUGUGCUUGGGACAAUGGCGUAGCCAGUUAGCUAAUAACCGAGGCGCGUCUAUUACUGGUUGAAAAUUAUUUCCAAACCCCUUCUUAGGCCCGGGUUUAUCCUUGGCCUUUGAGAAUUUUUGGAAGGACUACCUUAGGGGUAAAGUC